CCUGGGAACACCUGGCAUACGGAAGGAGGAAAAAUGGGUUUAUUGGGCCCUAGGGGUGUGUGCUUGGUUUUCCACAAGACCUUGCAGAUAGACAUCGAUGCUAUAUUUAAACGGUGCCUGUAACUGUGUGGGGAUUGCAGGGAGCAGGAAAUGAUAGCUGAAGCCUGGAAGACUGAUCUGAGAAGUACCCAGCACAACAGGCCUGGCCUCAGCAGGCA